rnacentral:rRNA from 1 species
GACGAACGCUGGCGGCGUGCUUAACACAUGCAAGUCGAACGGAAAGGCCUGCUUUCCCUUGUGGAUUGCGGGUGCUCGAGUGGCGAACGGGUGAGUAACACGUGAGUGAUCUGCCCCCAACUUGGGUAUAAGCCUGGGAAACUGGGCCUAAUUCCCGAUAGGACUGCAGGGUGGUGCCUGUGGUGGAAAACGAUUUUCUAGUGGUUGGGGAUGAGCUCGCGGCCUAUCAGCUUGUUGGUGGGGUAAUGGCCUACCAAGGCGGCGACGGGUAGCCGGCCUGAGAGGGUGGACGGCCACAUUGGGACUGAGAUACGGCCCAGACUCCUACGGGAGGCAGCAGUGGGGAAUAUUGCACAAUGGGCGGAAGCCUGAUGCAGCGACGCCGCGUGGGGGAUGACGGCCUUCGGGUUGUAAACUCCUUUCGACCGCGAGGAAGCCGCCUGGUUGGAAGGGUGGUGACGGUAGUGGUAGAAGAAGCACCGGCUAACUACGUG